rnacentral:rRNA from 1 species
UACAGAGGGUGCGAGCGUUGUUCGGAAUUAUUGGGCGUAAAGGGCGCGUAGGCGGUGCGGUAAGUCACCUGUGAAAUCUCCUGGCUCAACUGGGAGCUUGCAGGCGAAACUGCCGUGCUGGAGUGUGGGAGAGGGGGGGUGGAAUUCCGCGUGUAGCAGUGAAAUGCGUAGAGAUGCGGAGGAACACCGAUGGCGAAGGCAGCCCCCCUGGGCUGACACUGACGCUCAGGCACGAAAGCGUGGGGAGCAAACAGG